GUUUCGCGUUUGGGCAAAGUCGGUCGGAUUAUUGAUUGUGAAAGUUAUCGUAUAAAAGUAAUUUAAAGUUGGUGGAUCUGCAUUUCAUAGUUCGUAACACGUACGGUAGCUGUGUCUCCGUGUGGAUUACUCAGGACAAAUUGCUCCAGGUCUAGAAUCGAAGGAUCGAUGGCCGUCUGGGCGAUUCUAUCGCCGGAAUUACGGCGGAUGCUCGGAUUUUGAGCUGCGGGUGUUGAUGCAGUACGUGUGCCGUCCGUACGUUGUGGUCUUGCUGGUGGCCGGUUACGACAAUCAGGGAUCGCGGACGUGAUGUGCUCGCAAGCCGCGGCGAGGAAGAAAGAAGUGACGAUUCUUUCUAGGCCGAAACCAACCGUGAACAUCCACCAGAAGACGAAGCCCAGGCGCAGCCCCCAAGCCAUCCGGCUGACUCGACCGCAUCCGUCGCGACGGAGUCCCAAUCGGUGAAGACGGUGGCGUCGUGACCAGUGACCACUGCUACAUGUACCAACGCAAUCAACAGUAUUACGAAGUUUCGAAUGUUCAUCAAAGUUUGCCUGUGUGCUGCUCAUUUUGAAAGAGUGGCAUCAAGAUCGUCACCAUCGUCGUCAAAAUCGAAGGCAAGCCAGGCACUGUCCCAGUUCGUUGGCAGCGACCUGCCGAAGACAGUAAAUUCUCGUAAAGCUAGAUCCGUCCAACCUACGCCGACUUCUAGAUGCCGGAUUUCUCUAGCUACCACCGGGGCAACGCCUUGAGCGCAAAUGAGACAAAAAAAAACUGACUCAGAAGCCCGUCGCGUUUGGAGCUGCAUUCGUGAGCACGAUUACAUGGACAAAUUCGCUGAUGUUACUGUUGAGAUGGCAACCACUGCCCCAUUACCUUUGCGCGCUACUGCGCCAACAGAACUGUCAGCAGAUGUUCCUGUUUACUUUGUUUACAAUAAAUCUUAGUCUAUUAACAACCGCUCUAAACGUAA